CGGGGAAAACGCAGACUCCCCGUCAGACGGCCAAACCGUCCAAGCGCUGC
rnacentral:ncRNA from 1 species